rnacentral:tRNA from 1 species
GAGAAAGUUCCAAGAACUGCUAAUUCUUGAUACCGUAAAUAACACUUACGGCUUCCUCA